UGGGGAAUUGUUCGCAAUGGGCGCAAGCCUGACGACGCAACGCCGCGUGGAGGACGAAGGUCUUCGGAUUGUAAACUCCUGUUGCCCGGGACGAAUAGCUCCAACCUAAUACGUUGGAGUCUGACGGUACCGGGUGAGGAAGCCACGGCUAACUCUGUGCCAGCAGCCGCGGUAAUACAGAGGGGGCAAGCGUUGUUCGGAAUUACUGGGCGUAAAGGGCGCGUAGGCGGCCUGCUAAGUCGAACGUGAAAUCCCUGGGCUCAACCCAGGAACUGCGUCCGAUACUGGUUGGCUUGAAUCCGGGAGAGGGAUGCGGAAUUCCAGGUGUAGCGGUGAAAUGCGUAGAUAUCUGGAGGAAUACCGGUGGCGAAGGCGGCAUCCUGGACCAUUACUGACGCUGAGGCGCGAAAGCUAGGGGAGCAAA
rnacentral:rRNA from 1 species